UCUGUUUGCAAAGCCCUUACACCUCUACAGCACCUUGCUGCCGGUGCAAACUCGAUAUGAUUCAAGGAAAAGUGUACCCUGACCUAAAAUUAAUCCAUAAUGACAGAGUGAUUCGUUAUUGCAUGAGAGACUUGAGCACCUCACCAGCGGGAGUGACCAACAGCUCCACAUCUGAGGACCUUGCCAGAGGCAGCAGUUAAGGAGCAUUUAAAGCCUCUUCCUGAGUGACGGCAAGCCUGCCCAUGUUGUUCCUUCAAAAGGAGAUCCAUAUUGGCUGACGAUGCCGGUGAGAUUACCAUUUACAUGUGGGAAAAUAUUUUUCCGCAAAGCCACCACAGGUCUUCAAGCGAAAAAAGUGCAUUUGGUCAAAGUCCCAGUACACAUAUAGCCCGACCAGACAUGGCAGCAACCAGUUAAACAUCAUGAUUCCCAGUACUUAAACCUCUCUCUCUCUCUCUCUCUCUCUCUCUCUCUCUCUCUCUCUCUCUCUGUGACUCCCAGCAAUGGCCCAGAUCAGACAACGACACCUUUCUCUCACUCUAUUAAAGAAUACUUCUGUUUCCCUAUAUUUCACCAUUACUCUCUCUGAUAUUAUAUUGACGCAAAUUGUAUUAAGUCAAAACAUUGCAAGAGAGGUCACUGAGAAAGAACUCUUUCUCUCAUUCUUACCCCAAAUGAAGAAGGUUUUGUGAAUGGAAAGACUGCAAGGACACUGGUG
rnacentral:lncRNA from 1 species